CAGCGGGGCCACGUCGCCGGCGGGGUGAGGUAGUAGGUUGUAUAGUACUGUAUUACAACACUUGGGAGAGACUGUAUAGCCUGCUAACUUUCCCGGCCGACGACAGAGCGACGUUG
rnacentral:pre_miRNA from 1 species